GGGCGGUUAGCUCAGUUGGGAGAGCGCGGCGUUCGCAACGCUGAGGCCGGGAGUUCGAGUCUCCUACCGUCCA
rnacentral:tRNA from 1 species